rnacentral:piRNA from 1 species
UGGCAGUUUUCUAUUCAGCGUCCUCGGC